GACGAACGCUGGCGGCGUGCUUAACACAUGCAAGUCGAACGGAAAGGCCCUGCUUUUGUGCGCUCCUCGACGGGCGAACGGGUGAGUAACACGUGAGUACCCUGCCCUUGCCUUUGGGGUAACUUCAGGACACUGGGGCUCAUACCGCCUAGGAGCUCCUGCUGCAUGGUGGGGGUUGGAUAGUUUCGGCGGUUGGGGAUGGACUCGCGGCUUAUCGGCUUGUUGGGUGGGUAGUGGCUUACCAAGGCCUGGACCGGUAGCCGGCCUGAUCGGGGGACAGGCUCCGUUGGGCUUGGGCUGCGGCCCAGCCUCCUACGGGAGGCAGCAGUGCGGAAUAUUGCACAAUGGGCUGAAGCCUAAUGUAGCACCGCAGCGUGGGGGAAGACGUGAUGGGGGUUGUAAACCGAUUUCGCCUGUGACGAGGCGUGAGUGACGGUAACGGGUAAAGAAGCACCGGCUAACUCCGUG
rnacentral:rRNA from 1 species